rnacentral:rRNA from 1 species
CAUCGCCACGGUAAUACGUAGGUGGCAAGCGUUGUCCGGAAUUAUUGGGCGUAAAGGGCUCGCAGGCGGUUUCUUAAGUCUGAUGUGAAAGCCCCCGGCUGAGCCGGGGAGGGUCAUUGGAAACUGGGAAACUUGAGUGCAGAAGAGGAGAGUGGAAUUCCGCGUGUAGCGGUGAAAUGCGUAGAGAUGUGGAGGAACACCAGUGGCGAAGGCGACUCUCUGGUCUGUAACUGACGCUGAGGAGCGAAAGCGUGGGGAGCGAACAGGAUUAGAUACCCGUGUAGUCCCUGUCUCUUAUACA